AGGUGACAGUCAGCUGCCUCCUGGGAUAACUUAGCAAAGCUCUCCAAAGACCAUGGAACCGGCUUCCCUUUGUUUUCCCCAAAGGGUGUCUCAUUCAAGCCACAUCGUUUGCAAUAUUUAUGAUCCUGCUCCCUGGUCAUCGUUAAGAGCAAGUGGGGCUGGUGGAGCUGAGCCUGCUGGGAUAGAAAAAGGAGCCAUUCUUCAAAGAUCUGUAGAAGGGGAAGCAACAAGGCUGCAGGAGGCAGGCGUAAAUCAACACUUGCUGUAUACAGAGUUGGGCUCGAAUCGUCUCCCAGAAAGAACUGCCACUCUUCUCCUUGGAGCUCCUCCUUGACCAACCUAAGAAGAAUGCCUAAGGGAAAUGGGCUGACUGAAAUCUCAAGCCAAAUAUGGACAAGAGUGCAGUUUAUGACCGGUGAAAGCCUGGGCUCUUUCCCUUCUGCUGGAGUUCCUUGUGCAGCUGCUGUUGGACUUCACGGGCUGUACUACGGAUUCUCCAGCUGGCCAUGAGCUAUGCAACCUUACCAACGACACACGGUCUUCUUCUCUGCUCCACUUAAGACAGAUAACAGCAGAAAGCAAGCUGGCACUAAGCAUCAUUUAGAAGGAAUUGAUGUCAACCCCAACUUGAUGCCAUUGCCUGCACCCCAGGCACAGAUGUCGGAAGAUGAUAAAUGGCCAUCGAUCUGUCCAGCAACAGUAGGGCAAGGCACACCUACAAUUACUCUCCUUUGCUAAUGACCCCAUUAGCCACUGGAUCAAACACUGUUAGUGGGUGUGAUGAUGCUACAGUUAUUCCCUUGUCGAUACCCAUUGGCCUGAUCUAUACUGUCAGCCAAUGGAUUCCCAAAUAAAUAGUAAAGACCCC